rnacentral:rRNA from 1 species
UACGAAGGGGGCUAGCGUUGCUCGGAAUCACUGGGCGUAAAGGGUGCGUAGGCGGGUUUUUAAGUCAGGGGUGAAAUCCUGGAGCUCAACUCCAGAACUGCCUUUGAUACUGAAGAUCUUGAGUCCGGGAGAGGUGAGUGGAACUGCGAGUGUAGAGGUGAAAUUCGUAGAUAUUCGCAAGAACACCGGUGGCGAAGGCGGCUCACUGGCCCGGUACUGACGCUGAGGCACGAAAGCGUGGGGAGCAAACAGG